rnacentral:rRNA from 1 species
UACGAAGGGGGCUAGCGUUGCUCGGAAUGACUGGGCGUAAAGGGCGCGUAGGCGGCUCAUACAGUCAGGCGUGAAAUUCCUGGGCUCAACCUGGGGACUGCGCUUGAGACGUGUGGGCUUGAGUGGGGAAGAGGGUCGUGGAAUUCCCAGUGUAGAGGUGAAAUUCGUAGAUAUUGGGAAGAACACCGGUGGCGAAGGCGGGCGACCUGGGUCCUUGACUGACGCUGAGGCGCGAAAGCGUGGGGGAGCAAACAGG